rnacentral:rRNA from 1 species
UACGGAGGGUGCAAGCGUUAUCCGGAUUCACUGGGUUUAAAGGGUGCGUAGGUGGGUUGGUAAGUCAGUGGUGAAAUCUCCGAGCUUAACUUGGAAACUGCCAUUGAUACUAUCAGUCUUGAAUACUGUGGAGGUCAGCGGAAUAUGUCAUGUAGCGGUGAAAUGCUUAGAUAUAACAUAGAACACCAAUUGCGAAGGCAGCUGGCUACACAAAUAUUGACACUGAGGCACGAAAGCGUGGGGAUCAAACAGG